CUUAUCUUCGUGAAAAGGGACGUUUCAGUCACCAGGCUACAACAUAGCCGAAUUCAUCACACAAUACCAUCUGUGUGAUGAAGUGACUCAAAAAAAAUAGUUCAACUAAAUUAAUCCAUAGUUUUCGUAUCAAUAACGGUUUAUAUAGUUUACGAAAAAUAAAUAAUUUCAAACAUCCGAAGAAGUUGAGUCAAAAUACUGUAUUUCCAAUGAUUUUUCAAUUACAUCCUACAUUGAGCAGUCGCCAUUUUCAUAAGAAAUCGAUCGAUGACCAAACACAAGUGGAGCGAACGCCUAUCACACCGCUGGGCGUUUCUGGAAUAGACCAAUUGAUGGAAGCCUGAUGUUUACUGACUGUUAGACGUUGUUGCCGGACGUCUACAUAGCCAAUACUGACGACCUAAGCUAAGCCUAAGUUUGUCAGUACCUAGGUAAACCUUUGAAGUUCAAUGAGUCCCAUACCAUUACGCCACUACACCCAGAUCGCCAUUUUUAUGAAAAAAAAUUAAAAAAAAUCGAUCGAUGACCAAGCAAAAGUGGAGCGAGCGCCAUUUAUGCCGCUGGGCGUUUCAAGAAUAGGCUCAUUGAUGGAAGCCUGAGGUUUACUGACCACUAGACGUUGUUGCGGACGUCUACAUAGCCAAUACUAACGACCUAAGCUAACCCAAAGUCUGACAGUACCUAGGUAAACCCCUGUGUUUCAAUGAGUCCUAUACCAUUACGUCACUACACCCCGAUCGCAGAUAAAAAAAAUUUUCAACACAAUCUAAAAUUUGCAUCACUACGUAACGCACAGUUGUUUCAUGUUUAAUUUAAAGAUUCAAGAGUAAGCCUCGAUAUGACCAUUGCAUUGUACACAAGAGGUGAGAGAAUUUGCAUGUGAAUGUUACCGAUCCUCUCACCAAAUAAUUCUACGGAUAUGAUUGUCGUUGUUGACAAGAAUUCAUGGACAACAACAUGAUGUAUCAAUCGUCCAUUAUCAUAUCAAUGUUCAUUG